rnacentral:tRNA from 1 species
ACCAGUGUGGCAUUGUGGUUUGAGUGUUGGACUACAACUCUAGAGACCAGGGUUCGAUUCCCAUCUUGGCUA